rnacentral:rRNA from 1 species
UACGUAGGGUGCAAGCGUUGUCCGGAAUUAUUGGGCGUAAAGAGCUCGUAGGCGGUUUUGUUGCGUCGGCUGUGAAAUCCCGAGGCUCAACCUCGGGUCUGCAGUCGAUACGAGCAAACUAGAGUGUUGCAGGGGGAGACUGGAAUUCCUGGUGUAGCGGUGAAAUGCGCAGAUAUCAGGAGGAACACCGGUGGGCGAAGGCGGGGUCUCUGGGCAACAACUGACGCUGGAGGAGCGAAAGCGUGGGGAGCGAACAGG